GCCAAUUCGUACAAGUUCAA
rnacentral:miRNA from 1 species